UAACAAUGAUUUCCCUAGUAACGGCGAGUGAAGAGGAAAGAGCUCAAAGUUGGAACCUGUUUGGCUUAGCUAAACCGGAUUGUAAACUGUAGAAGUGUUUUCCAGACACGCCUGGUAAAAAAGUCCUUUGGAACAGGGCAUCAUAGAGGGUGAGAAUCCCGUCAUUGGCCAGAGCUGUUGUCUUUUGUGAUACAUUUUCAAAGAGUCAGGUUGUUUGGGAAUGCAGCCUAAAUUGGGUGGUAAAUCUCACCUAAAGCUAAAUAUUUGCGAGAGACCGAUAGCGAACAAGUACCGUGAGGGAAAGAUGAAAAGAACUUUGAAAAGAGAGUUAAACAGUAUGUGAAAUUGUUAAAAGGGAACCGUUUGGAGCCAGACUGGCUUGAUUGUAAUCACUCUCAGGCUCUUGGCCUGGAUGCACUUGCGGUUUAUGCCGGCCAACGACAGUUUUGUUUGAGGGAAAAAAUUACAUUGAAUGUGGCCCUCUCGGGGUGUUAUAGCUUUGUAAAAAAUACCUUGGACGGGACUGAGGAACGCAGCGAAUGCCUUUAGGCGAGAUUGCUGGGUGCUUGCGCUGAUACAUGCUAGAAUUUCUGCUUCGGGUGGUGCUAGUGUGUAAAGGAGUAACCCGCUUAGUAUAUUUUUUAUUCGCUUAGGUUGUUGGCUU
rnacentral:rRNA from 1 species